rnacentral:ncRNA from 2 species
UAAAAAUUUAUGAUUUUCAUAAUUUAUUUAUAAUUUAUUUUACAUGUAAAUUUUAGUAUGAUUUUUACAUUAUUUUAAUAAUAAUGAUUUAUUUUGCAGUAAUUAAUAUUAAAAAUUUAAGAAAUUAAGAUUUAGUAAUAUUAAAAUUAUUAACAAAUUUUGUGCCAGCAGUUGCGGUUAUACAAAAAUUAAAAUAAAUUUUUUUAGUUAUAAUAAAUAUAUUUAAUUUAAAUUAAAUUUUAAAUUAUUAAGUGAAAUUUUAAUUUAAUAAAAUUUUAUUUAAGAAAUAUGAUUUAAUAAAUUUAUUAAGAAACUAGGAUUAGAUACCCUAUUAUUAAAAAUUUAAUUUAAAAUACUAAAAUAGUAGAUAAUAUUAUUGAAACUUAAAUAAUUUGGCGGUAUUUUAGUUCAUUUAGAGGAAUCUGUUUAAUAAUUGAUAAUCCACGAAUAAAUUUACUUAAUUUAAUAUUUUGUAUAUCGUUGUUAAAAAAAUAUUUUUAAAUAAAAAUAAUAUUUAAAAAUUAAAAAUAGAAAUUAGUUCAGAUCAAGAUGCAGAUAAUAAUUAAGAAUGUAAUGGAUUACAAUAAAUUUAUUUAAAUGAAUUUUAUUUUUGUAAUAAAUAAUUGAAAUUGGAUUUAAAUGUAAUUUUAUUUAAUUUAAUAAAAUGAUUAAAAAUUAAAAUAUGUACAUAUUGCCCGUCACUUUCAUUUUAAAAUUGGAAUAAGUCGUAACAAAGUAGAGGUACUGGAAAGUGUUUCUAGAAAGAC